AAACUGGAGAGUUUGAUCUUGGCUCAGAACGUACGCUGGCGGCGUGGAUUAGGCAUGCAAGUCGAACGAGACUCCUUGAACAGAGGCUUUGGCCAAAGGGAUAGGAUGUUCUAGUGGCAAACGGGUGAGUAACGCGUGGGCAAUUUACCUUUAAGUUGCGGAUAACCCCUCGAAAGAGGAGCUAAUACGUGAUGUGGCUAUUUUUACAUAAGUUUAAAUAGCUAAAGGCGGGGACCUUUCGGGGCCUGCCGUUUAAAGAUGAGCCCGCGUCCUAUCAGCUUGUUGGUGAGGUAAUGGCUCACCAAGGCGCUUGACGGGUAGCUGGUCUGAGAGGAUGAUCAGCCACACUGGGACUGAGACACUGCCCAGACUCCUACGGGAGGCUGCAGUCGAGAAUCUUUAGCAAUGGGCGAAAGCCUGACUAUGCGACGCCGCGUGAGCGAUGAAGGCCCUCGGGUCGUAAAGCUCUGUCACA
rnacentral:rRNA from 1 species